CCUACGGGAGGCAGCAGUGAGGAAUAUUGGUCAAUGGACGAGAGUCUGAACCAGCCAAGUAGCGUGAAGGAUGACUGCCCUAUGGGUUGUAAACUUCUUUUAUAUGGGAAUAAAAUGUUCCACGUGUGGGAUUUUGUAUGUACCAUAUGAAUAAGGAUCGGCUAACUCCGUGCCAGCAGCCGCGGUAAUACGGAGGAUCCGAGCGUUAUCCGGAUUUAUUGGGUUUAAAGGGAGCGUAGGUGGAUUGUUAAGUCAGUUGUGAAAGUUUGGGGCUCAACCGUAAAAUUGCAGUUGAAACUGGCAGUCUUGAGUACAGUAGCGGUGGGCGGAAUUCGUGGUGUAGCGGUGAAAUGCUUAGAUAUCACGAAGAACUCCGAUUGCGAAGGCAGUUCACUGGACUGCAACUGACACUGAGGCUCGAAAGUGUGGGUAUCAAACAGGAUUAGAUACCCCAGUAGUC
rnacentral:rRNA from 1 species